AUAGGAGAUAGAAAUUAUUACCAGGAGUUAUACAGAAAGUACCGUAAGGGAAAGAUGAAAGAAAAAUUUUAUAGUGUAAAAAAGCAAAGACUAAAACUUUUACCUUUUGCAUAAUGAUUUAACCAGAAAACACUUGACAAAAAUAAUUUAAGCCAAGCACUCUAAUACCAGAGGAGCUACUUAUGAGCAGCUAAUGAGAGCUCAUCCGUCUAUAUUGCAAAAUAGUGGAAUGACUUAUAAGUAGAUGUGAAAAGUGUACGGAGCCUGGUGAUAGCUGGUUGUCCAGAUUAGAAUUUUAGUUCUACUUUGAAUUUACCUGAAGCCAAAUGUAAUUUUAAAUGAUAAUCUAAAGAAGGACAGAUCCUUUAGAAUCAAGGAAAAACCUUAAUUAGAGAGUACAUCUGCUAAUUUCCAUAGUUGGCCUAAAAGCAGCCAUCAAUUGAAAAAGCGUUAAAGCUUAACCUAAUCAUGAAAACUUAGUACCUAGCUCUCAAUAACCUCCUAAACCAACACUGGACUAAUCUAUUUUUCUUGUUAAAGAAAUUAUGUUAAAAUGAGUAACAAGAAGAAAGUUCUCCCUGCAUAAAUUUAUAUCAGACUGAAUAAUUCACUGAUAGUUAACAACUUCAUAAUAUUAAAUAAAUCAUAAAACCAUUAUUGAUAACAUUGUUAACCCACCACUGGUAUGCACUUAAGGGAAAGAUUAAAAAAAGUAAAAGGAACUCGGCAAACAUUAACCUUGCCUAUUUACCAAAAACAUCACCUCUACCAUAAUCAGUAUUAGAGACACUGCCUGCCCAGUGACACAUGUUUAAUGGCCGUAGUAUCCUGACUGUGCAAAGGUAGCAUAAUCACUUGUUCUUUAAAUAGGGACUAGUAUGAAUGGCUUGACUAGGGUUUAACUAUCUCUUACUUUUUUUUUUAUUGUUGGUCGUUCAAAACAUUACAUCUAAUUUGAUAUAUUUCACAGUUUGAUUCAAAAGAGUUAUGAACUCCCAUUUUUACCCCAUAUACAGAUUGCUGAAUCACAUCAGUUACAUCAAUUACAUUUCCAUUGAUUUACAUAUAUAUAUGUAUAUCUCUUACUUUUAAUCAGUGAAAUUGACCUUCCCGUGAAGAGGCGGGAAUAUUAUAAUAAAACGAGAAGACCCUAUGGAGCUUAAAUUUAACAGUCUAACAGCCUUAACUUCACCUUUGGGGUCAAAAUAAUUGUUAACAGGCUAAAAAUUUUGGUUGAGGGUGACCUCAGAAUACAAAUAAGCCUCCGAAUGAUAAUAAUCUAAACAGAACAUGUCCAAAUUACUCAUCAAUUGACCCAAACUAUUUGUCAAUGGAACAAGUUACCCUAGGGAUAAUAGGAAAAUCCUACUCAAGAGUUCAUAUCCACAGCUUAGGGUUUAUGACCUUGAUGUUGGAUCAGGACAUCCAAAUGGUGUAACCUCUAUUUAUGGUUCUUUUGUUCAAGGAUUAAAGUCCUAGUGAUCUGAGUUCAGACCAGAGAAAUCCAGGUCGGUUUCUAUCUAUUACUAUAUUUCUCCCAGUA
rnacentral:ncRNA from 1 species